AUGGGCGAAAGCCUGAUCCAGCAAUGCCGCGUGCAGGAUGAAGGCCUUCGGGUUGUAAACUGCUUUUGUACGGAACGAAAAAGCUUCUCCUAAUACGAGAGGCCCAUGACGGUACCGUAAGAAUAAGCACCGGCUAACUACGUGCCAGCAGCCGCGGUAAUACGUAGGGUGCGAGCGUUAAUCGGAAUUACUGGGCGUAAAGCGUGCGCAGGCGGUUAUGUAAGACAGAUGUGAAAUCCCCGGGCUCAACCUGGGAACUGCAUUUGUGACUGCAUGGCUAGAGUACGGUAGAGGGGGAUGGAAUUCCGCGUGUAGCAGUGAAAUGCGUAGAUAUGCGGAGGAACACCGAUGGCGAAGGCAAUCCCCUGGACCUGUACUGACGCUCAUGCACGAAAGCGU
rnacentral:rRNA from 1 species